AGUGAACGCUGGCGGCAUGCCUAACACAUGCAAGUCGAACGGCAGCACAGUAAGCGCUUGCUCUUACGGGUGGCGACUGGCGGACGGGUGACGCAUACAUCGCCAUCUUCUUUUUCUUGGGUGACUACGUAGGGCCACAUCCACUACUACCUCAUAUAUCCUACGGGUUAAAGCAGGAGAUAUUCGCACCUUUCCCGUUUCUAUUAGCCGAUGCCGGAUUAGCUAGUUGGCGGGGUAAGGGCCCACCAAGGCAACGCACCGUAGCUGGACUGAGAGGAUGAUCAGCCACACUGGAACUGAGACACGGUCCAGACUCCUACGGGAGGCAGCAGUGGGGAAUAUUGGACAAUGGGCGAAAGCCUGACCCAGCAAUACCGCGUGGGUGAAGAAGGCCUUCGGGUUGUAAAACCCUUUUGUUAGGAAAGAAAAGCAGCAGAAUAAUACCCGGAUGUCCUGACGGUACCCAAAGAAAAAGCAACGGCUAACUUCGUG
rnacentral:rRNA from 1 species